GAUCAUGGCUCAGGAUGAACGCUGGCGGUAUGCCUAACACAUGCAAGUCGUACGAGAGUUUUUUAACUCUAGUGGCGGACGGGUGAGUAACACGUGAGAAUUUGCCUUUAGGAGGGGGAUAACAAUUGGAAACGAAUGCUAAUACCCCAUAUGCUUUUGAGUGAAAUGGAUUUUAUCCGCCUAGAGAGAAGCUCGCGGCUGAUUAGCUUGUUGGUAAGGUAAGAGCUUACCAAGGCGACGAUCAGUAUCUGGUUUGAGAGGACGAUCAGACACACUGGAACUGAGACACGGACCAGACUCCUACGGGAGGCAGCAGUGAGGAAUAUUGGACAAUGGGCGCAAGCCUGAUCCAGCCAUGCCGCGUGCAGGAAGAAGCAUCUAUGGUGUGUAAACUGCUUUUGUACGGGAAGAAACACUCCUUCGUGAAGGAGCUUGACGGUACCGUAAGAAUAAGGAUCGGCUAACUCCGUG
rnacentral:rRNA from 1 species